rnacentral:rRNA from 1 species
GCCUGAUGGAUGGGGAUCACUACCGGAAACUGUUACUACUACCGUACGACCUCACAAGACCAGAGUGCGUCACCUUCUGGCCUCUCACAUUCGCAUGUGUCCGAAUAGCAUUAUCUUGUAGGUGUGGUAAUGCCUCGCCUCGAUCACUAUCUGUACCUAGUCUAAGAUGAUGACCACUGACACUGAAACUGAGACCCGAUCCCUACUCCUACCGGAGGUGGCAAUGAUUAAUAUUGGACAAUGGGCGCGAUCCUGAUGCGCCCCUGGCGCGUGUGUGGUCAUCGCCUUGUGGUUGUAUUUCACUUUCAACGAAGGGUUAGGGUUCAAUGUUAAUAGCAUUGUACAUUGACGUUACUCGCAGAACAAGCACCGGCUAAGUCCGUGCCCGCAGCCGCGGUAAUACUGAGGGUGCAAACGUUAAUCACAGUUACUGGGCGUAAAGCGCACGCAGGCGGUUUGUUAAAUCAGAUGUGAAAUCCCCGAGCUUAACUUGGGAACUGCAUUUGAAACUGGCAAGCUAUAGUCUUGUAUAGGGGGGUAUAAUUCCAAGUGUAGCGGUGAAAUGCGUAGAGAUCUGGAGGAAUACCGGUGGCGAACGCCGCCCCCUGGACAAAGACUGACGCUCAAGUGCCAAAGCGUGCGGAGCAAACAGGAUUACAUACCCUGGUAGUCCACACUGUAAACGAUGUCGACUUGGAGG